GUAAAUUUUUUGUAAUAAACAAGGUUAUUCUUUCAAUAAACGGCAUAAAUUAUAAAAGUGCGAUAAAAAGGCAGAUCAAACCAGCAAAAGUCCACAAAUGUCACAUUUAAAGAAUGUGCAGCAAGGGCUGAGAUGUAGUUCAGUGGCAGAGCACAUACUUAGUAUAAACAAGGCCAAAAGGUUCAAUCUCCCAACAGUGACAAAAAUGGUGCAAAAUAUUUGAUAACUUAUCAUUCCAACAACCUUUCAAAAACUAGAGUACAUCACCCCUAUGAACUACUCAAUCCUUAAAUGUAUUUUUUCCCCCCUAAAUUAGUUGUAUCUCUAUCAUGAGGAAAAGAAAAGUGGCUUAAGAGUCAAAAAACCUAGGAUCUCAUCUUAACUGUGGCAUUUAUUUAACUGGUUGCUGAUAAUGCCAGCUAUCUUACAGAAAAGCCCAUGUAGCAAAGAACUGAGGGAGGUUCUGGCCAAGAGUUCAUGUGGAACUGUGGUCCUUACUACGUCAGAUUGUAAGGAACUGAAACUCAUCUGUGGGCCUUCAGAUGGCUACACCCCCAGUUCAAACUUUGAUUGGACCCAGAUCCAGGAGACCCAGCAAAGCUGUGCCCAAAUUCCACACAGAAAUUAUGAAAUGAUUUCAAAAAGCACUUCAAAUUUCUUGGUUAUCUGAAAAAAGAAAUCAGCCACCCUUCUGCAUAUAUGAGGCAACUAGACUGCUAUCACAAUAUUCACAAGAGACUUCAACAUUUGGAUUAGUGAGUCUACACGUGUAGAGUAUCCAUGUCUCUGAUAAAAUUCAUCUUCCUCAUUGUCAUGAACAUAUUAAAGUCCAUGCCUGAAUAACUAA